CGAAGGGGGCUAGCGUUGUUCGGAGUUACUGGGCGUAAAGGGUGCGUAGGUUGUAUGGUUAGUUAGUGGUGAAAGCCCAGGGCUUAACUCUAGAAUUGCCAUUAAAACUGCCAUGCUAGAGAGUGAUAGAGGUGAGUGGAAUUUCUAGUGUAGGAGUGAAAUCCGUAGAUAUUAGAAGGAACAUCGAUGGCGAAGGCAGCUCACUGGGUCACAUCUGACACUGAGGCACGAAAGCGUGGGUAGCAAACAGGAUUAGAUACCCUGGUAGUCCACGCCCUAAACGAUGGAUGCUAAAUGUCGGGACAUUAGUUUCGGCGUUGUAGUUAACGCGUUAAGCAUCCCGCCUGGGGAGUACGGUCGCAAGAUUA
rnacentral:rRNA from 1 species